UGGAGAUGGGCUUUGCAACACAACAGACCUGUGUGUGGGAUUUUGAUCUUAGGCAACUGAAAAGCAAGUAACGCUCCCUUUCUAUUACCUGAAGCUUCUGCUUAUGGAGUUUUGAAGUUCUCCAGGAUGGUUUUUCUAUUUCUCUGAGCACUGAAGUGGCUAAUGCCAUGGCAGAUGUCAUACCUAAUGCUGCAGAAGCAGAGCAUAAGCACUUUCAGACCAUGCUGAAGUCUAAAUUGAAUGUCUUAACACUGAAAAAGGAACCUCUCCCAGCGGUCAUCUUCCAUGAGCCGGAGGCCAUUGAGCUGUGCACGACCACACCGCUGAUGAAGACAAGGACUCACAGUGGCUGCAAGGUACAUGGUUUCACUGUGUUGCCCAGGCUGGUCUCAAACUCAUGGCCUCAAGCAAUCCUCAAACUUCAGCCUCUGAAAGUGCUGGGAUUAUAGGCGUGAACCACUGCGACUGGCCUGUAUUUU
rnacentral:sRNA from 1 species